rnacentral:lncRNA from 1 species
GAGUACCGACGCUUGCGAAAAACAUAUUAAUGGAUCAUUGACAAUCAAAAAAGAUUCUCACUCGAUGAACGAAGUUUAUGAUAAAAAUAUCAAACACCAUAAAAUAGAUAAUUGUGUAGCAAUGACUCGUAAAGAAGAAAAGUUGCUACAACGAUACCUCAGAUAACGAUAGACAACUACCAAUCGCCUUCUUGCAUUUGCAAAUUAUGUCAAUCCAAUUGGAACAAUAUUUCAAAUAUAUGAUGAUCCUACUAUUGGAGUUUCUUGUUCUAUUUUAGAAACAGGUUAAGCCAUCAAAUCUACUAUUUCUUUUAUUGCUUUGUAGGAUAUACAUACAAAAUGAUUGUACAUGUGGCAUCUCUAUGUAUAUGAUCAUUAAUUCUGACCAUGCCGCGACUAAGAAAGGAGCUUUUCUUCGUUAGAUGUCACUGACAGGGAGAAAGAUGUUUAUUAGUAACAAUUUCUUUCAGUUUAAAUAUCAAGAAUGUUAUCACAGCCUCAACUGAAGAGGAAAGAAUUUAUUUGAUUUUAGCCUAUUACCUUAAAUGUUGAAUGCAUAAAUCUCUAAUUUUAUGAUUGACCCUCUAUUCAUGCUCAAGUUAUAUUGCAUUUAGCAGGCAAAGAUCUUCAUGCUUACCUCUAUAUCUUCCAUGCGAUUCACAAAUAAGUUCAUCAUCUUCAGUAAUAUGUUUUAUCCUAGGACUACAAUUUACCAAUUAAAGUUAAGAAGCUGUCAGAUUUCUCAUGUAUAAGUUACUGAUUCUUUCUGAAUUGAAUAUUGUAGCAUCUCAAAGUAGUGAUAGAAACACUGAUAUUGAUAAUCUCUGUUUGGUCAUAUCAAUCUUCUCAUUUUAAUUGUUAAAGAUACGUAUUCUGAUGAUCUAUAUAGGUCCAAUUUCAGAUAUAAUUAUUCUGCGAUGCAGCUGGGGAAGUUGCUCAAGGUGAACAUGCCAACUCGAAAAAUGACGAGGAUGAAAAGGAUAACAAUGAGGAAGAUAAAGACAAUGAGGAUCAUAAAUGAACCAUCUAUUGUGUACAGGGUAUAAUUCAUGAUUCAUUUUUAUUUGCUAAAUUUACAAUCUCUCUCUUGUGAAUAUUUGUCGUACCUAAUUUAUCUUUAUGGCAGACUACAAUAUGCUGGAGUUUAUCAUCCAGCUUUCUAGCAGCAAAAAGAAAAUUUUCACCCUUAUGAUAAGUAGACAAACGUUCAAGAGAACAUGGAAUAUCAUCUAUCAGACUCACUACAGUCAUUAAUGGAGGCUAUGGAAGCUUAGUCCUCCCACUUGGCUUCUAGGACAUCACCAAUGACUUCCGUUAGUGCUGUUGUCGUACCUGCAUUCUGCAAAUCCGAAAUAAUCAACAAGUUAGAACAGUUUGAAAACUGGAUUCAAUAAAAAUAAGAUGCAAA